rnacentral:lncRNA from 1 species
UUGAAGGUUUCAAAACUUUCACCAAAACUCACGAUCCAUAUACCAUUCGAAAGUUGGGGUGAUGUACAUCACCCUUGUACCCUUAAUUUCCACUCAAGAUCCCUACAGAGAAAGAAAUCUGAGAUGGAAAAAUAAGGUGUUCAAACUGAACUUGCUCAAUUCAUAAAAUUAAAAGCACAAAUCAAUUGCCUCUCACAUGAGGACUUCAGAGG